CAACAAAACAGGACAAUCUCACGCACUGAAAAUGUCAGAAACUGUCAGUAGCGGUGUUCAGCCUUAUAUGUUCAACAACAAAACAAGGCAAUCUCACGCACCGAAAAUGUCAGAAACUGUCAGUAGAGGUGCUCAGCCUUAUAUGUUCAACAACAAAACAGGACAAUCUCACGCACUGAAAAUGUCAGAAACUGUCAGUAUAGGUGUUCAGCCUUAUAUGUUCAACAACAAAACAGGACAAUCUCACGCACUGAAAAUGUCAGAAACUGUCAGUAGAGGUGCUCAGCCUUAUAUGUUCAACAACAAAACAGGACAAUCUCACGCACUGAAAAUGUCAGAAACUGUCAGUAUAGGUGUUCAGCCUUAUAUGUUCAACAACAAAACAGGACAAUCUCACGCACUGAAAAUGUCAGAAAGUAUUAAUAGCGGUGUUCAGCCUUAUAUUUUUGAACCAGGGUCGUUGACAAGACCCUAGUUUGUGGAGCAAUCCGGCACAAAAUGAUACAGCGAGGAUAUAGAAAUUGCAGACUAUGUUAAUAGGGCAGAUCGUCACCGGCUGUGGGCGGCGCUUCAUUGUAGGGAAGAAUUGGAAUCGGCUCAUUUGAAGAGACUGCUUUUGAUGUAUGGGAAUUAUAAAAACAUGAGUGAGUGGAUUUUUACCAUUAUAGGCUGGUUGUUCUCACACAUCAGUGUUCAAACACUUAUAAAUAGUGAAUUUUGCAUAAUAGGUCCCCUUUAACUAAUGUAAACUAAUGAAACCUUAUUGUAAAGUGUUACCAGAAAAUGGGAAGUCUAAAAUUGAAAAUUUAAUUUAGAAAAAAUAACAGAUAGUAGCAUUUCUAAAACACAUCAUAAGCUAACUUUCAAGCAUGUUGUAUCUACUUGAAAGCUUGUUAGCUUGUAAGAUCCUCAAAGUUUGGAUUGUGCUUUCCUUUCCCAGUUUCUUUUUUUCCUUUUUUGUUUUCUUCUACCUUUUGAGGGCUGGAGGACAUAAGUCAUUACAUGCCAGUGUGCUACUAAAAAGUCUGGCUUCACACGCUGUCUGUGCUGUGUGUAAUAGCGGCCGCUAGCAGGGCGCUACGCUAACAUGUAGAGUGCCAUGCGCGGUGGGCAGCGGUCCUCGCGACUGACACGGGCGGGAUCGGGACGCCUCAGGUAGUCACGUCUCUACUCACCGUUUUGACACAUGGCCCCCUUGCCAGCCUGUAACCCCCUAUAAAGGUAAAUUUAGUGAAAAACUACUUGCACUUAUUCAUUUAUUUUGUCAUUUAAUUUCAAUACUGAAUGCUAACCUUGUCAUUCGAUUGCAGUAUGUAGGCUAUGCGUUAUUUUGCGAGACAGGAAGCAACGUAAACAUCUCUAGCAUGUUCUGUAUGUACGCUGUUGAUAAGAGAAAGGGGCCCGACAAACCCUGUCUUACAGAACAGAUAGCCCUUGCAUUACAAAAGUGGUUAAAUAUAGGUCCCCGAAGGCCUGCGAUGGAAAAUUGGCAUCCGAUAAGGGACAGGCCUAUGAAAUAUUCAUUACAUGUGCUGCUCUCUCUUCUCAAAAGCAUAGGUGACUGUUUUUUUCCUUUCUUAACGGCUCUUUGUACUGGCAUCAGUUUACAGUUGCCUUUAGCUCAGUUCCUGCAACCUGAUGCAUGUCAUGUAUGGCCCACACAUUGUUCAUCACUGUGGUUGGGUUAUGACUGAUUCAUAUAGAGCCAGAUAAAGUCAUGGCUGUGAUAAAACAGCCUUAAAAGUCAUAGCAAGAGAUGAACAGCUUCAGACCACUGAAGAAUUAAACACUGAAUGAUGCUGAAAACUCAUCACAAGGAUACAUUUACAAAAUAUAUUAUGUAAAUAAAUAUAAUACAUAUAUAUAUAUAUAUAUAUAUAUAUAUAUAUAUAUAUAUAUAUAUAUAUAUAUAUAUAUAUAUAUAUAUAUAUACACAAUAUUAGUCAAAUCAAAAUAGGAAUGAAUAUUUGAACAACACUCAUUAAUACAGUUUAUUCACUAUAGUUUAAAAAAGGUAAUAAAAUAUGAUAAGAUGUCAGAGUGAAACUGUGUAAGAAAACAUUAAUCUUAAUUAUGUCAGAUAACACUUUAGCAAAACACGGUCAGGUCAAAGUGUCUGAAUAAUUUCCGUUUCUAAAGUUUUGUACAUUUUACUGUUAGUCUACUGUAUGAAGAAUUUAUGGGUAUAAUGUCACAGUUUACUUUAUUUUGCUAUCCUCUUACAUAAAUGAACUAUAGUGUCCUGCACCCACUAGUAAAAA